CGUGAGCACAAAUCUGAUUUGGACAGAUGAAUGGAGCAACUCCAAAUGCGCUCCCGAGCGUACAUGUACAAAAGAAUAAGAUUAAAAAAAAAUUAGCAAAUGGGCUGUAAAAUUAUCAUAAAGCAUAGAGAAAAUAAUCCAUGAAGUCAUAUGUUAACCGAAAUAUAAGUUAACCUGCACAAACAUUCACGUGCCUAGAGGCGAAAUUUUUUACAGAUUAACAUUUUUCUUUUUUAGACUUGUAUAAGUUAAAUUUGGAGUACAGAACUUAUGAAUGUGUUUUCUACCACAUCAAAAUAAGUUUAAGCAUGCAUAAACUAUCUGGUGAAGCAUAUNNNN
rnacentral:lncRNA from 1 species